rnacentral:tRNA from 1 species
GGUGGUUCAGUGGUAGAACGCUUGCCUCGCAUGCAUGAGGCCCUGGGUUCAAUUCCUCAGCACCA